rnacentral:tRNA from 1 species
GGAGAGAUGGCUCAGUGGUUAAGAGCCGGACUGCUCUUCCAGAGGUCCUGAGUUCAAUUCCCAGCACCCACA